UGUAGCAAUUAUCGCUUUCCAUGUUCGCCGUGGGGGGAAAAACCCAUUUGGGGUGCAUCUAUUUAUGCCGUCUGAUGCCCCUUCUGGGUUUACAUUGAUGUGUUUGGUCGUCUCCUCCUGAAGAAGCGACGUAUAUCGCGAAACAUGUAGAGGAUCACGUCUGGACCUACAUCUUUGUUUCCUCAUAUACCAGUGGGGUCUAUUUGUGAGCUAAACAAAACGUUAUACAACAACCAUGUCCAUGUAUUGUUGUACUUAAUGUUGCUUUUAAUUGGAAUUGUGUCUUAAUAAAUUUAUAUUUUUAAAAUCA